CUUACUGGAGGUCUAAUCUGAGGUGACGAUUCCCAGAAUUGUUGCAGAGAUCUGAUAAACUUGUUCGUCUUCACUGAUCGGAACUGGAGCUUGGAGUUUCUAUAUCGACGAUACUCGGUGAGUCUUCGUCCUCAUAGUCGUGAGAUCUAUUUGAUCGCGGAUAGUUUGGUUUUUAUGAUUACAUAAUCUCUAGUUUUGUGGUCUAGUGGAAAGUUGAUGACUUCACUGGAACAACCUUCCUGGCUUCCUGCUACUUAUGAAUGGACAUAUUUGUACAGAGUGCUCUUAGCUCUUAUAUCAAUUUGGAACAAAGCGCGGUAAAUAACAAAGCUCUUCGUUUGGUUGAUCUUUUUCCAGUGCUUUCCACCAUUUCUCCUCACAAUAAACUGUUGGCAAGUUCAUCUGGGUCCUCCUCUCCUGAAACGGCAGUUUCUUAACUCUGGGGCAAUUUGUGAUGACUAAUGUUUCAACUUUUUGGAAUGAAAAUCGAGAUGGGAGGAUGCUGUUUAGUUCUGGCAGAUCCCUAGUUCUCAAGGUCUUCAGGCUUGGGAACAAUGUUGGAUCUUCGACGGAUGGACUCUCGUGUUCGCUUAUCAAUUCCUCUAUCUCUCUGCAGUCGAACAGUUCAAUCACCUCUAGCUUUGGGAGUUUCUGAACCCAUGAGACAUUCUUCAGCUUGUUGCAGUGUGAAAUGUUUAUGCAACGGAUAUUCCGCAGACAAUCUUGGCUUACAGAAUUUCCCCACACUCUGGUUAAGUUGUGAAGGCUGUGUAACGUCAGAACCUCUAGACUCGGAAGCCAAUCAUUUUCAAAAUCUGCGGGUGUGACCAGGUACUCCAAGUCAUGGCAACUUUUAAUGCUAAGUCUUCUCAGGUUCCUGCCAUGGUUAGUGAGUGAUGGGAGAUUGAAGUAGAGGAGUUCAUUGCACUCUUCAACGUGGAGAUGCUGUAUAUGUUUAUGCAAAGCACCGAACUCGAAGAGAGUUUUUAGGGUCUCCAAUGAGAGAACAGUGAUACCGAGUGUGGUUAGGUUUUCCAAGUAUUCCAAGUCAGCGAAUCCGAGUUCUUCUGCUUCAUCUUCUCCAAAGCUCUGCAGUUCCCAACCGGCGUAACUGUAGUACAAGUUCAGAACCUCGAGCUUGCUCAGCCAACAUAUGGCAUCUCGUGGGAUCGUCUGAAGAAACUGAGUUCUUUGUAGGUCCAGAUGCUUCAGUUUUCUAAGAUUCCCAAGCUCCUGUGGCAAUACACUUAUCUUUGUUCCUGACAUAGACAGAUGAUACAACUCCACCAAAUACUUGAUAGACAACGGAAUCUCAGUGAUACUUGUGAACGACAAGUCCAAGACUCUGAGAACAGGCAUAUGCAUGAAAAACCCUGUUGGAAUCUUCUUCAAAGAGCUGUUCUGUUGGAGCAUCAGUGUUGUCAGUUUCGGGCAUAUGAGUUUUUCAGGCAAGGUCUGGAUUCUGUUAUCUAACAAUGAGAUCACCAACGCUUGUCGCCAGUUUUCUGCUUUAGGAGCUUCAGUAUGUCCCAUGCUAGGCUCAACUAGGAUCAGCUCCUUAUAAGUCCCCUGUUCAGAUGCCAUCCACAAUGCAAAGCUUCUGACCACAUUAUGCAUCUUCACCUGUGUUUUCUCAUCUCCGGUUUCCAACAAACAUGCCGCUUUCAGAUCCCCAAUGAGAAAAUAUCCCUUGUAAAUGGUGUUAACGCCAUGGGAGCUGGUGAGAAACCCUUCGCCGACCCAGUACUCAACAAGCUGCUCGAUCUCUAUAGAAUGUUCUUCUGGGAAUAAAGCGCAGUACAAGAAACAAGACCGAAGCAGAUCACUCUCGAGGUUGUCGUAGCUGAAUUUCAAAAGGGCAAAUACAUAGUUCAUACCCUUCAUCUCUGCUGGAAAUCUAGUCAGAACUUCACUAGCAUGGAUCCACUCUUCUUCUGUCUCUCUAUGAGCCAUGGCUCCUCCUAAAGUGAUCAACGCUAGUGGCAAUCCUCCACAUUUACUCACUAUAAUCUCCGCGAGCCGGCGAAUUGAUGAUGACUCUAAAAGAUCUUUUCUCCAUACCUUACUACAGAACAGCUCCCACGCGUGUUUCUUCUCCAGAAACUCCACUCUCAACUUGUAUUCCGCACCCAUAUUGUUGCAUAAUGCUAUAGACCGUGUCGUGAACAUCACCUUGCAUUUGUUUUCCCUGUCAGGUCGAGGAACUCCAGUUUUCUCCAAGUCUAUCUCUUCCCAGACAUCAUCUAGCAACAACAAGAAACGUUUCUGUCUCAAAGCUCUGUAUAUCUUCAAAGCUCUGUUUUCGCCGGUCUCCUUCUCGUCCCAAGAUAAACCCAACCGUGCUCCAACGGCUUGCUGAAUUGUACACUCGCCGAAUUCUCUGGACAUUUGAACCCAAAUCAGUACAUCAUACUGAUGUCCUUUUGUGAUCAGCUCGUUGUUAAUGCUCUGCAUUAACGUUGUCUUCCCAACCCCACCAGGUCCAUAAACACCAAUGAUUCCUCUUUCUUCUUCUUCACUGAGAAAUUCCAAAACCUGUUCCAUCAUCGUGGUAUUUCCGACAACGGACUUGAUGGGUAUCUCUCUACAAGUUACUUGAAUUGACCCGCCAUCUGUUUUGAUAGCUUCAGAGCGUUCUCUCAGCUCACCAAUGCUCUUCAAUAUGGCAGAAACCUUCUUGCACAGUUUGUAGUCGGCACAACCGAAACAACUGAGGUAUCUCCUCCUCAUUCGCGUCCUCUGUUCCCGACGCCUAAACCUCACUAAAAGUAGGGCUGUUUUAGUCUCCGUUACUUGCACCGCACUAAGCCACUCUCUGGCACGAUUUGAGCAGCUUCGUCCCUCUAGACCGUCUUGUUGGAUCCGUAAAGUCAGGUCAUCACGUAUGGCCUUCAAGUCACCGAUGGCUGUUUCAAGAUCAGUGAUGGCUUGUCUAAGAUCAGUCUUAUGUCCUCUUCUCUCCGCCAUAUUCAUAGAUUCACACAACACCUGAGCACAGCCAACGAUAAGAGAUGAGAUGAAAUCCAUUUCGAUGAUUUCUCGCUCUUUCUUUUACUUGUCUGAGCUAACUAACUAAUAAAGAUGAGGUGUUGACUCAUAAAGAUUAAAGUAAAGUCAACUUUAAUAAAGCUGUCUUGCUUGCUUGUAUGACUUGGUUCAAGAAACGAGUAGAGAGAGAUAGGAAUCUUCCUCGAAGUCUCGAACUGUUGUUUGCAUGCUUGUAAUUUCUACUGGCCAAGUGAAGGCCCGAUAACAAAAUUGGCCCUCUAAGAGCCUUUUAAUGCCUAUAGGGUUUUUUUGUUGGGUCAACAAUUCCAAUGAUGGUGCAUUUUUUUUAUGUUGAAUAUAUACAAGAUUUGUUGCAUAUUAAAAAGACUGGUCAAGUAAAGUGUUUCACCGAAAAUGGGAGACAUCAAGUA
rnacentral:lncRNA from 1 species